UUUUAUUUCUAGAAAACAACUUCGUAAUUAUUUUUUGCACUUCUGAUUUUUUCAAGAGAAUUAGUUUUGCUUUAGAAUCUCUCAAAUUCUAAAUUAUUAAAGGAUUAGUGAUAACAAGAUAAGAUCCUUCAUUUUUUACGAAGAUAAAUAAGUGAUCAAAUAUUAAAGGGGUUUAAGGAGCAGAAUUUCUGAUUUUUUAUUCUUUUACCUAUGAGCUUUAGUUUGCCUAUGUUACUACAAGAACAAUAAAAUAUCUGACACUUUCAAUAUGGUUAGUUUGUCUAAAGUAUAUAUACACACAGAGGCGGUAAAGAAUAAUAAGUACAAUUAAAGGAUAGGGAAAGGAGAACUGGACUCUCGCUAUGGGCCUGCAAAUGUUCAAGCCCAACAUAAUGUACACGAAUAGUGGCCUCGAUAGGAACGUGAUGACGUAUAUCUGAAAGUGGACUUGAGCUCCAAAUGGGCUCAGCAGGCCCAAAUUGAAUUCAUGCACACAAAAAAAAUAAAAUAACUAAUGUAUAUCAAUUGCAAAAGCUAAGUAAGAUAAAGAGUAUAACAAAUGGUAAUAAAGAGCAAAAGAAUGUCGUGAGGCAGAUUUUAUAUAUUCUAAUCUUAUGAGGAUUAAUAAGAGUUAGUGACUAAAAGCUUGGUGUAAAUCCUCUCUUAUUGAUAUAAUCUCCCUUUUGAGCUCCUUGUACUUCAGAGUUCAUGAGGGUCUCACGGACCCCGAACAGUGCUUUUGUCAAGGAGAGAGAGAAUAACCACAAUGAAUUUUUACAUCUAAUUACCCUUAACCACAUUAUAUUAAUCUUCUUCAGAGGUUUAAACAUAAACAAAAGAAUCAACAGAGUAACUUUAUACUGCUAAGAUACAAAAAGUAGUUACAAGAGUCAUGGUAAACCCUUUAAAGGUUCAAAUACAUAAGAAACUCAACAACUAUGAACAAAUGGGAUGUUGUAAUUCAUUUCAAAGCACAAAAGUAGCCAAGGGCACGAUAUUGACUUAAGAGGAAUCAUAUCAGAGUCAUGAGAUCACUUUGAAGACAUAGUCAAGCAAGAAAACAAAGUGCAGGCAAGAGACAUGUUUCACUUCUCAUAGAGUUUAGACGCAUAAGUGUUACAGUAAAGUAUCACACAGAGAUGAGCAUAAGAGUAUGUUAUAUUGGCUUCACUAUAGGUUUAAUCUUCCAUAACUCUUCUAAGUGAGUUCAGAUCAUAGGGAUUGUUCACAGGUGUUUCUAAAGUCUCAGCAUAGUUAACAUCAAGCCUAUACCUUAUCAUUUUGACACCUAAGCUGAUUAUUCUAAUCAGAAUUCCUAAGGGGCAUGCCAAUUAGUCAGGGAAACAAAGUCAUUAAAUAGGAAAGAAUUGAUCUUACUCUUACUCAAUACUGACAGACUGAUUAUACAACACAUAUAUCAUCAAAAUUUCUAACUAUCAGACUUAAACAAAUUCAGGGUGAGUCCCUACGGGAGAUGGCACUAUCAGAUAUAAGGAAAUAGGUAAUAACAUCCAUUUUAAGGCAAACAUGUCAUAAUGAACUGACACUUGAAUAUAUAGGCAACUAGUAUGGUAUGUAAAUCAAACUCAAUACAUGAUUUUAAUUUAAGCUAAUAUGACAAACAUAUAGGAAUCAGGAUAGCAGAAAGUCACAACUAAGUCUAACAAUUAAAGUCAUGAGAGCAUAUCAUCACUAGCAAUGGGAAUAGAUCCCUUAGUGGGAAAUAUUCACAUACUCAAACCAAGUAAAGCACCAUAGCAACCAAGGCAAGUAAAGGUUAGCACAUAGGUGCAAAUAUAUAGUCUCUCAAACUGAAGUCAAAAAAUAGUUUAUUAGCAUAGCAAGGAUUAAUAUGAGAGAGGUAAGCUCAUGUGUAAAGGUCAUUAAUGUAAUGGCAAGAGUCUCACAAAAGCUCAAACAGUCAUGAGAGGGUGAGUAUUAAUCUCAUACUAAGGAUCAAUAGAGAACAAUCUUCCUAACACACUUAGCAAGGUUCAGCACGUACUUUCUUGACUUCUCACACCAUCACAAAGAACGCACAAGAAUCAUUCUGUUACUACUACAUAUGCAGUAUACUAAUUAGAGUCAAACAAAUUAAUAUGAAGUUGGGAACUAAACCAAAUAGCAGAACAUUACAUGUAUCGGGAUGGCAUAAUGAAACAAGUAAUGACAGCAUACAGAUGAUUCUUUGAAACUUGAUUUUAUCCCAACCUCUUCUGCAGGGCAGAAAACCAAGUAGUAGAUGUUCAACAGUGAUUUAGGAAUCCAAACUCAUGACCAGUAUAACAGUUGAACUCAAACCGGAGAAGAGAAAGAAAAUAGAAAAAUCAGAGAGUACUUACUGAGAAAUUCUUAAACUUCAACUCUUUUCUUUCUUUCUUUUGUGUUUCGGAUAGUAUUCAAUUUGUCUUAGGUGAAUACAUUGAAUUCCCUUUUUUAUAGUGGCAUACGAGACUUAGUGUCCCGCUCAGAUUCAAAAUAGUGACUGGAAAGUGCCUAUAUCCAGAUGAUGAUAGUAAUAGAGGUGAAAUCAGUAAAGAACAGAGGGAAAAAUAUCUUAGAAAUUACUUGGGCACGAGGGGAUGACCGUUAAAGCUUUUGGACUGGUGGUCAAACCGUAAUAUCAGAGGUCACUACGUUUGACCUAUGGAUAAAUAAUAACAUUGAUUAAACAAGAGACAAGCAGCCAUGCAUGCUCUGGAUUUGAAAGAACAUGGGAGGUUUGAUGGGUUUUCAAGUUUCACGAUUUAGGUCCAGGUUUUAAUUUGGGGAUUUUGAAUUUCGGUGAUGAUAAUGGAAAUAUUCCACCUGGAUUCGCGGCAUAGGGGACAGACUGGGUGAUUUGAAGUUGAUUCUUGUCACCUUGCACAAAUUUGUGCAAGGUCUUUGAGGAUUGAUGGGCUGAUGGAUGAGGGAAAGGAGAGAGGAAAGGGAAAUGGAGGCGGUUAGGUGGUGAGAGAAUGAUAGGGUUUAGGGGUGUUUGGUAGGUUUAAUAAAAUUUUUAUUAUGGGAAAAAAUAUACUUCCGUUGGAUCUCUGUAAUCCAAAGGUGGAGAUGAGGUCUGGCAUAUAUUUUAAAAUAAAGGAAUAAAUGGGGAUUAAUGUGGACCCUUGAUGAUCUGGGCCAGAAGUCCAGAUUCUUGUGUUUGUUUUGUGAGUGUGGGAAAUAGGCGACGUGGCACGAUGCUAUUGGCUCAGAGACUCAGAGGAAGUGGCACAGAUUGCCAACAUGGAAUAGAAACAGUGAGUCUGGACUGGGUCAGGGUGUUUGGGCUCGUGUAUUUGGGCCAAAAUAUCUUAAAUAAAGUUUAACAAUUGGCCACAUUGAGUUUAAUUGAUUAAUUACAAUUGUAGCCUUUUGAGCAUUUAACCCCUUUUUAAAAUCAACUUAAUUAUGCUUAAUUUAUCAUAAUUAAAUGCAAUAAAAUAUAAUAAUCAAAUAUAUUACUAAUUGCUAUAAUUAAUUAGUUAUUGUUAUAAUAUUUUAUUAAUUGAAUUAUGAAACUACUUUGGUUAAUUAAAGUAAAUAAGGAAAUAUAAUUAUAAAUUUAAGACUAAUUCAUUAAAUUAAUUAUAAAACUUGUUUAUUAAAAUAUAAUGGUUAUUUUAAUAGUUCAAAACAGUAAGAGUAGUAUAAUUUAUAAAUAUUUAAUAUCAAAUUACUUUUAAUUCAAUAAUAUUAAUUAUUAUUAUCUAUUGUAUUUUAGAAAAAUAGGUAUUAUUGAUUAGAAAAUAUUUAACCAUAUUUAUUGCCAAUUAAUAAUCAUAAAUAAUUUAGAGACUAGACUCUACGUAGGUUCUCUACGUAUCCCAUCGUGGGAAGGUAGGUCAGGUGUAGUUCUGUUACAACAAAACCCUAACUCUAUUGUCUUCAAAUGUGUUAUCUCUUGAUUGCGUCUGAAUUGAUUGGCUUCGUGCUGAAUUUGCCGUCCAUUUCUACUAGGAUUUGUGCACCUCCCAUUUCUUAAUCGAUGGCCUUCGUGCUGACUUUGCCUCCACUUAAUGGGGGAAAUAUCUUCUUCAAAACCAACUGACCCGAUGUGAAUUGCCGAGGUUUCAAUUUUCUGUUGAACGCGUUGGCCAUCCUAUUUUGAUACAGAUGACCAUGAUAAAUCCUUCCAUUCUCUUUUCAUCAAUGAGCAUAAGUUGUUCUUGCCUGAAACAUAUCCAUUCUGCAUCAUCUAGCUUGGCUUCCUGGAUAACUCUCAAAUAUGGUAUCUCGACCUCUCCAGAUAUCACAACUUCUAUGCCAUUUACCAACAAGUAUGGUUUUUCCCCAGUAGAUGUUCUUAUGGUAGUGUGGUAACCCGGUAAGGCAAAGGAUAGCUUUUCGUACCAUUGCAUGUGAUUGUCCACUUAUCUUUUUAAAGAUUCUAUAGAUGUUUUUGGUGGUUGCUUAAACUGCUUCAUUCAUUUGUGGCCUAUAGGCUAUGGAGUUGCGGUGGACAAUUAUGAACUUCUAGAAAAUCUCCCUCAUGAGAUUGCUAUUGAGAUUGGCUGCACUGUGAAUUAUGAUUGACUCUGGAAUCCCCAAUAGACAGACUGUGUUUUUACGGUCGAAAUCUGACACCACCUUCUUCGUGAUAGCCUUGUAUGUAGAAACUUUGACCCAUUUUGUGAAGUAGUCGAUGGCUACCAAGAUUAAAUGAUGCACGUUCGAUGCAACAGGUUCUAUAGGUCCAAUCAAAUCUAUGCCCCAAGUGGCAAAUGGUCAAGGAGAGCCUAUUCCAUUUAACUCAUUCGGUAGAACUCGGAUGAAAUCCCCGGGAAUCUGACACUGUGAUACAUAUGCACGUAGCGGAUGCUAUCACUUUCCAUGGUCAUCCAAAAGAAUUCGGCUCUCAAAAUCUUCUUAGCUAAGGUGAAACCAUUCAUGUGAGACCCGAACAUUCCUGUAUGUAUUUUCUCCAAUAAUCUUGUUGCUUCAGCAUCAUCCACACCCCUUAACAGACCCAAAUUCGGGGUCCUCCUAUACAGAACUUCCAUGUUAAGGAAAAAGUGAUUUGCUGGUCUUCUUAAGGCUCAUUUAUGACCAUUAGUGUUAUUUUCUUGGUACUUUCUUGUUUCAAAAAACCUUUGAUGUCUUGGUACCAAGGCCUACUAUCUGGAUCUUCAUCUACCUGGAAAUAGUAUGCAUUCUAAUCUCGAGCCUCUAUCUCGAUAGGGUUGAUGUAAUUCUUGUAUGGGUGCAGGAUCAUGGAUGACAAAGUUGCGAGAGCAUCGACGAACUCAUUAUAGAUUCUAGGCACAUGUUUGAACUUGAUCUUGGUGAAAUUCUUACACAACUCCUUCAUGCAAUACAAGUAUGGAAGGAUCUUGACAUUCUUGGUGGUCCACUCACCCUGAACUUGAUGUAUCAACAAAUCAGAAUCUCCUAUCACCAAAAGCUCUUUAAUGUUCACGUCGACUGCAAUCCUAAUCCUUAGGAUUCAUGCCUAAUAUCCUGCCAUAUUACUUGUUCAAUGUAACCUUAUCUUAGCUGAAGCAGGAUAAUGUUGUCCCGACUUCGAAAUUAGGACUGCCCCAAUUCCCACUCCCUUGAAAUUUGCUGCCCCAUUGAAAAGCAUUCUCCACCCUGGAUAUGAAUCUGAAAUAUCCUCCCUAGUGAACAACACUUCUUCAUCUGGGAAGUAAGUGCUAAGUGGCUUAUAAUCCUUGUCCACCAGGUUUUCUGCAAGAUGAUCAACGAACGCUCGUCCUUUGAUAGCUUUCUGCAUCACAUACACAAUAUCGAAUUCACUGAAAAGAAUCUGCCAUUUGGCCAAUUUUCCCAUAGGCAUCGGCUUCUUGAAGAUGUACUUGAGCGGGUCGAUUCAGGAGAUUAAAUAUAUGCUAUAUGCCAAUAGGUAAUGUCUUAACUUCUGAAUGAUCUAGGUCAAAGCGCAACAGGUCCGCUCUAACAAUGUGUAUCUGGCUUCAUAUCGUGUGAACUUCUUGUUUAAGUAAUAGAUAGCUUGCUCCUUCUUUCUAGUCUUAUGAUGUUGUCCCAACAUGCAUCCAAAUGCAUUAUUCAAGACUAACAUGUAUAGCAGCAGAGACUUCCCAGGUUCAGGAGGAAUUAACACAAACGGACUCGACAAAUACUCUUUGAUUCUAUUGAAAGCUUUUUGACAUUCCUCUUUCCACUUUGUAGAGGCAUCUUUAUUUAACAACUUAAAAAUCGGCUCACAGAUUACUAUUGACUAGGCUAUGAACCUGCUGAUGUAGUUCAAUGUUCUAAGGAAUCUCAUCACACCCUUCUUACUUUUGGGUAGAGACAAGUCUUGAAUUGCCUUGAUCUAUGAGGGGUCUAGUUCUAUCCCUUUUCUGCUGACGAUGAAGCCUAACAGUUUUCCUAUGGGGACUCCAACACAUAUUUUGCAGAAUUCAACUUCAAACUGUACCUUUACAAUCAGUCAAAGAACUUCCUUAAGUCGUUCAAAUGAUAUGCACUCUUUCAUGACUUGAUGAUGAUGCCAUCCACAUAUACCUCGAUCUAUUUGUGGAAGAUGUCGUGAAAGAGGUUUGCCAUGGCCCUCAUGUAGGUAGCACCGGCAUUCUUGAGAUCGAACAACAUGACCCUAUAGCAAUAUACUCCCCAUGGUAUGGUGAAUGCUUUCUUUUCUGCAUCUUCUUUGUGCAUCUAAAUCUGGUGGUAUCCAGGAAACAAUUCACGAACGAUUGUAACUUAUGUUUCGCGCACUUUUCGCUAAGGAUAUGGAUAUUCUAAAGAGGAAAGUCAUCCUUGGGACUGGCUUUGUUGAGAUAUUGGUAGUCCACGCAUAUCCUAAUCUUUCCUUCUUUCUUCGAUACCGGUACGACGUUUUCCAACCAUGUAGGGUAAUUGGUGACCCUCACCACAUUUGCUUUUAUCUUGUUAGUGACUUCUUCUUUGAUUUUUAGAUUCAAAUCUGGUUUGAAUUUUUUGGGUUUCUGUUUGGUUGUUGGCCCAGCGGGAUCAGUGGGCAACCAGUGCGAGAUGAUGUCAGUACUUAAAUUGGGCAUGUCGUCAUAUGACCAAGCGAAUACAUUGAUGUAUUGUCCGUAGAGCUCUUCCAAGUCUUCCUUCUGUUCUGCUUUCAAGUGGAUGCUGAUUCGAGUCUCUUUCACAUCUUCUUCACUUCGAAAGUCAAUCACUUAUGUUUCUUCAUGAUUGGGCUUUUUCUGGCUUUCUAGCUGCUCAGUCUCUUGCAGGUGGUUCUUAGGCAUCAUACUGUCAUCGUACUCUUCAUAGUCCAAAUCAUUUUGCUCACCGGUUUCGUUAGAUGUCAAAAUCGUGGAAUGCGAGUUUUUAUUGAUUUGAUUACUAAAAAGAUAAAUUGAGUAUAGAUAAAGAUAAAGAUGAAUUUGCGAUGAUUUCAUGAAAGUAAUUUUUUAUUUAACCAAAAAGAACGUCUCAGUAUAUAAAGAGGCAAUUUAACAAAAAGGUACAAGCAUGGUUCAGGACUCAAUUGACCAUGCGCUUUUUCAAAAUUACUACAAUUCCAUACUACCAAGACUCCCGCCGAACCAGAGACAGGUGGUCCAGUUUUUCAAUGUCUCUCUAGGUUUGGCAUUUUGAAUAGUCGGUGUCUUGAUAUCAUCUUCGUCGCAACAUUCCUCGAUCAUGGCUACAAAAAAUCUUCCCAUGCAAUCAUUGAUAUAAUCAUCUGGUGGUGAGCUCUGACCGGGUCCUGGAAUAUGCUCUGGUACCAAAACCUUCUUCCUAGGGUUAUCGUUGUAUGUUCUUCCAGUUAUAGGCUGAUACCUCAAGCCGGUGGUACUUUUCUGCCCAUUCGAUUCAAUUGGCUCUGCUAUCCCAUCUGAUCGGUCUCCUAGCCCAUUCCCUGGUCGGUAUCCAUAUUUCAUCAUUUCCUACAUUGCCAUCUUUAACCUAUAGUGUUACUGCAUGCUGUGAUUCUACUCAUUCUUCUACAUUUAUGUUGCUUGCAUGAUCUUGAUUGCAUGGAUGGCGACCCCAUCUAAUCCUUCUAUGAAAGGAACUGCAUUCUCCAAGUAAGCUGACCGGCUUCACUCCCCAUGUAUCCCAAUCUCCUGGAAAUCCCACUCAAAUUUCAUACACUUAUGGAGAAUGGAUGGAACUGCCCCUGCCAUGUGUAUCCAGGGCCUUCCUAAUAGUAGAUUGUAUGAAGACAAAAUGUCCAUCACUUGAAACAAUAUUGGAAACUCAACUAGGCAAAUUUUCAAGGCUAAGUAGAUAUCUCUGAUGACAUCCUUCUGUGACCUAUCGAAAGCCCUUACUGUUACAUGGCUCUCUUUCACUUCCCUCAAAUGAAUGCCCAAUUCUCACAGAGUAGAGAACCAGAAAAUAUUUACUCCGGAUCCUCUGUCGAUAAAGCACACAUGAUACAACUUUGUCCCCACAUUUGACUGUGAUGUGCAGAGCCUUGUUUUGGUCCAUAACCUCCAUAGGAAGUUCAUCUCAUCGAAAGGAAAUCUUGUUUUCUUUGACCAUCUUCCCAAUGGUUGCUACUAGUGCCUCGCUAGUGGUACUGCCCGGCAUACUUUCCCCACUUAGCACUUUUACUAAAGCAUCCUUGUUACUGUCGGAGCUCAUCAACAAAUCCAUAAUUGAUAUGCGGGCAGGGGUCUUUCUCAACUGUUCUUCUAUGAAAUUUUCUUUAAUCGGCAUCCUCAUUCAAAACUCUACUGCCUCCACGUUUGUUGUGUUUCUCCUCUGAUUUUGCUCUCUACUCAUGUUCCCUCAAUUCACCUCUUCUGGAGCGUAACACCUUCCUGACCUAGUCAUUAUGUGAGCAGUUGCGCUGAAUGUUAUUUUUCCUUUCCCUUUGACUGAUGAGUCCAUGAAACUGCCUUAUAUACUCGACUCCCUUCAUAUCUAACAGUGGUGGUGGAUCGUUGUUGAUUUGUCUGAACUAUCAUAGGAGGUUUCAACUUCAUAGUAAUCAAUGGAGUUACCCAAGGGAGUGUUCUUGCAGCUUCAUCAUUCCCAAUAGUGACAAUGCUCCCUUUUAAGUAAUAGUCCCCGUCUAAUACAAUUAUGUUGGCUCCUUAGUUUCUGUGGUUUGGUUGUGGGUUACUAUUUACACACUGGAUAGCUCCACUUUUAAUCAAUAGUUUGAUCUUAUUCUUCAAUCUAUAACAAUCCUUUGUGUCAUGCCUAGGAACACCUUAAUGAUAGGCGCAAUGCUUGCUUCCAUCAAAAUAUUUGUAGGGUUGGUCGAGGAUUCUUCCUUCCACAUGGUAUAUCAUUUUGUCUCUUCUUAAUCGUUCGAACUAUUGGGCUAAAGGCUCAGAAAUUAGGGUGAAGUUUCUUGGAUUCCUUUCUUCAAUGUUUGGACGUGACCUGGGUACAUAGGCAUGUCUGCUUUUAUGGGUGGUGGUUCGAACUAUAUGGUCGUGGUGGGUUUGGAUGUAUAUUGGCUCGGGGUGGGUUAUAAUGGGGUUGACCAUUGUAGAAUAGUUGGGUAUUAUAUACUGGGGUAUAAGGGAGGAUGGGUAUUUGUGGGGUAGGAGUUGGUUCGACAAGGAGGACUUGACUGAUAGUAGGGGGAAAUCGCCGUUACUUCCUCUUUCCUCUUCUUCCCACUUCCGAUUGAAUUGGAUUGUAUAGCCUUGCUAGUAGCUUGUAGCACGAUCAUUGACUCUAUCUUUCUUGACUUGAUACAUUCAUCCAAGAAAACUCCCAUUUUAACCAGGUCGAGAAAUUUCUUACUCAUCAUACCCAUCAUCUUUUUGAAAUAAAUUCCCUUUUGCGCACGGAUAAAGUAAUUAGUUUUCUCAUUAUCAUCCAACGGUGGUUGAGUCCUAGAAGCUUUUGAUCUCUAACGGCGAGCAUAUUCUUGAAAUGGUUCAAAGAGCCUCUUCCACAUAUUCACCAAAGUGAAUCCGUUCGGAGUGACCUCAGUGUUGAAUCUGAAGCGAUUCAUAAAAUUUUCAGCCAUGUCCUACCACUCCCUCAAAUUCCUAGUGUCUUGUCUGGUAUACCAAACAAGCGCUUCUCUAGUCAGACUCCUUAUAAAUAGUUUCAUUCUUAGCUUUUUAUUUCUCCCUAAUCCGACCAACUUGUCACGGUAUGCCCUUAAAAGAGCGUGUGGGUCGCCUGUUCCGUAAACAAUGUCGAACUUUGGAGGUUUGUACCCUGCAGGCAUAUCAACAUCGGGAUGUAUGCAAUUCUUCAUAAUCCAAGCUCUCUCUCCCUCGAGCAACUUGGAGAUUCUUCAUCUGUUUCCUCAAUACUCGUAGUUUUUCUGAUACUGACUCCUCUUCCUUGUAUUUUGCUUCUUUCUCUAUCUCAGCAUAUUGGUGUAUCUCAUAAGGCACUCUGACCGUGAUGGGCGCAGUAAAGGUAGGCUCAUGACCGGCAUAUACAGGUGGAAUGUACCGCUCAUGUGUGGCGUUGUGUGCCGCAGGUAUAUACUGUGUGUGAUUGUUGGUAAAAGUGACGUUGUCACGAGGAGGGGUGUGAACCAAAUUGGUGGUAGCUGGUGGAUUUUAUGGUUCUUGGACAUAGUUUGGAGCAUAGGGUGUGUGUAUAGGAGGGUUUGGUAAAUUUGCAGGGGUUACUGGUGGUAUAACUUGAGUUGUGGGAUUUGCGGUGAUAGUAGUUAGGGUAUUGGUUGUUUGUCAGAUAGAUGAAGGGAAAUGGUCAGGGAUUGAAUCUAGGGAAGGGAAGCAGGGUGGUUGCAGAAGCAUUUUCACGACCAAAUGUGCUAGCUCCCAGAUUUGUUUUUCCAGUAUCAUAGGAAUGAGGGUGAGUUGCAGAUUUCCCAGGAAGGUUGCCAAAACUAGGGACAGCAGGUUGAUAUUGAUUCGUCCCUUUCUUUGUGAGAAAACCAACACUCCCAACAAUGCUAGAGAAACGUUUAAGGGGUGGAGGCUCUCCCAUGCUUCUUGAUCACACUGGAAUUAUUCAAGAUGACACUCAUAGCUCUCCCGAUGUUCUAUUUUGUCAAAUAGCUGGCCUAGCUCAUCCAUCCAUCUUUGACGUUUCUCAAGUAUUUGUUUCUUGUCCGACCCAAUACAUGGAGUAACCUAUGGUCUGGCAUGCCGACUAGUUGUAUUGGUUUCCUUCCGACGAAUGGUAACUCCAUGAAGUUGUUAACCCCCUCCAGUGUAGGCAUCAACACACAAUCAACAAAUUUGAAGACUUGUUUGGAUGGGUCCAAAAUCACUAUUAGCAGCCUAGUGAGGACUUUUUCGGUUCAAGUGUUCAUCAAGGCAAUUAGUGCUUCCAGGUCUGUUUUGUUCUCACUCACGUGCUCCCGUCGAAUUUUCCUCCACCACUACUUCAACAUGUGAGGUCAACCAACGACCAUGUUAACCUCGGGGACGUUGCAGCUGAUUUCCAUGUAAAGAGGUAAAAGGUUUGGUACAUGUUGACUCAGAUAUUUAAUGUAUUAUCUGGAUUGGUUCGUCGUUCCACAGAGAGUAGGUCGUUGGGUGCAUAAGCCGUUGACAUUAAGGUGGCAUUCCUAAUUGUGAGUCAAUACCAAGGACUGACCCACCUAAUGUUUAUGCAACAUGACCUAUGUUUGCUAAGAGUAGAGUAUUUCCUAAUUUUGGAGUUGGACUAAAUAACUACAAGAUGUUAUGUCAGUUGGCCUGACAAAGUCGUUCUCUAAAACUGGAGAGUUUUGAAAUAAGGUUUGGAGGGGUGUAAAAGACAAUCCUCGCAUGCCAUUUGUCUGUGAUUGUGUACAUCCAAGACUCGAUAGGAAAGAUGUGAUGAUAGUGUAUAAAGUAGUAACAGAUAAUUGUGGUAAAGUAGUAAUAUAUGCAAACAAGUAAGGAUGUAUAAGCAUGUUGAAAGUGUAAGAAAGUAGAAUGAAGCGAAUAAACAUGUAUUUGAAGGUUAAGCAUAAUUAAACCAGAAUAUAACAAAACAUCCUCAAAGUUCAAGUCUAACCUAAGUCUGCUAAGGUCAGAACCUAAGUAUAAAAAUUCCCAGCAGAGUUGUCAUGUUAUAGAACCUUAUUUUGACCUAGUCAAAUUAAAAUUCAACUAAUGGUCCAUCUGAAGUUGAUUAAAGAAAAGUCGCCACCUAAUAUUUUAAGGUAUAGUAGGGUACCUAUGGGUUUGUUAAAUUAUUAUCUUAAUGGUCUACUAACCGGUGAUAUUUGUAUUAGGGUUCUAGUUAUUCUAAGGGCAAGGAAUUAGUCACCCCUCAAAAUCUACCUGAGGUAGCUCCUUAAGCUUAGACUAAGUUCGAGGAAAAAUGCCUAUAUUCUGCUUAGUCCUGUUUUUAAAGCCUAUAAAAAUGUUCUAAGCUUUAGCUAAAAGUCGGCUACUUGAGAAAAGGUGGUGUAUGUGCUUUGAAAAGAAACUAUAUAUUUUUGCGAUAAUCUUGAAAAGAAAUCGCCCUUUAAUAUAUGUACACUUAUUAAGUUGAAAACUAUAUACACUUUAUUUUCUGAAUAAUCUUGUAAGAACUCUUUUGAUUAAAAGAAGUGGUAUGUUUUAGGGAAAAUGUCACUUAGUAAAUAAAGGACUACUUGAAAUUACGCCUUAAAUUGGAAUGGGUAAACCUUUAUUUGGAAAUCAAGUUUAACCGGAACCACAUACUUUGAAAUUCGUUGACGUCCAUCAGUUCAUAAGCAUUCAUUGUGUUUGAUUUUAGUUCUUGAAAAUGGCUUCGUAAUUAUUUUUUGUAAUUCUGAUUUUUUUCAAGAGAAUUCGUUUUGCUUUUUAAUCUGUCAAAGUCCAACCUUACUGGAAACGGUUAGUGAUAACAAGAUAAGAUCUUUCAUUUGUUAAUAAUAUAAAUAAGUGAGAAAAAAUUAUAGGUGUUUAAAUAGCAGAAUUUCUGAAUUUUUAUUCUUUUACCUAUGAGCUUUGGUUUGCCUAUGUUCCUACAAGAAUAAUAAAAUAUCCAACACAUUCAACAUGGUUAGUUUCUCUAAAGUAUAUAUAUACAUAGAGGCGGUAAAAAAUAACAAGUGAAAUUAAAGGAAGGGGAAUGGAGAACUGGACUCUCGCUAUGGGCUAGCAAAUGUUCAAGCCCAACAUAAUGUGCAUGAACAACAGACUCGACAGGAAUGCGAUGACCCGAAUCUGAAAGUGGACUUGAGCUCCAAAUGGGCUCGGCAGGCCCAAAUUGAAUUCAUGCAUACAAAGAAAAGAAAAUUAUAACGUAUAUCAAUUUCAAAAGCUAAGCAAGACAAUGAUUAUACGAAAUGGUAAUAGAGAACUAAAAAAUGUAGUGAGGCAGAUUUUAUUUAUGCCAAUUCUAUGAAGACUCAUAAGAGUUAGUGACUAAAAGCUUGGUGUAAAUCCUCAUUUAUGGAUAUAAUCCCUCAUUUGAGCCCUUGGCAUUUCAUAGUUCACGAGAGUCUCACGGACCCCAAGCAGUACUUGUGUCAAGGAGAGAGAUCAUAACCCAAAUGAGCUUUCACAUCCAAAUACCCAUAACCACCCACUAUUAAUCUUCCUCAGAGGUUGAAAUACAAACUAAAGAAUCAACAGAGUAACUUUAUACUGCUAAUAUAUAAACAGAAGGUACAAGAGUCAUGGUAAACCCUUUAAAGGUUCAAACACACAAAAAACUCAACAGCUUCGAACAAAUGGGAUGUUGUAAUUCAUUAUCAAAGCACAAAAACAGCCAAGGGCACAAUAUUGACUUAAGAGGGAUCAUAUCAGAGUCAUGAGAUCACAUUGAAGACACAGUCAAGCAAGAAAACAAAGUGCAGGCAAGAGACAUGUUUCAUUUCUCAUAGAUUCUAGACUCAUAUGUGUUACAGUCAAGUAUCCCACAGAGAUGAGCAUAAGGGUAUGUUCUAUUGGCUUCACUGUAGGUUUAAUCUUUCAUAAAUCUUCUAAGUGUGUUCAGAUCAAAGGUAUUGUUCACAGGUGUUUCUAAAGUCUUAGUAUAGUUAACAACAAGCCUAUACCUUAUCAUUUUGACACCUAAACUGAUUAUUCUAAUAAUAAUUCCUAAAGGAGGCAUGCCAAUUUGUCAUGACCCAAAAUCCACUAUAGGUCGUGAUGGCGUCUAACGUCGCCGUCAAGCAAGACAACAGUGAUUUAUCAAUUUAAUUACUCAUUUUUAUUACUUUCGAAAUCAUAGAUUUUAGUAAGGAAGGAGAUUUACACUUCUAAAUUCACGGAAACGUGCAACAUUUGUAGUUUAUAAAAAAUAUUAAAGGUGAUAAUAAUAUACGAAACCUUAUGCAUAAACCAGUAUAACCCCAAAAUUCGGUGUCACAAGUGCAUGUGCAUUUUUCAAAGAGUACAAUAAUAAUACAACAUCUGUCCAGAAUAUAAAUAAGACAGGAUAAAAUAAAUAGUACGAUGGAUACUCGGUGGACUACGAUGCGUAGCCUGGAAUGCAGCUCACAUAAAGUCUCCUCAAUAGGUGUGCCUACGCGCCAGGAUGAUCACCAAACGAACCUGUCAGAUCCCGCACAUUUAGUGUAGAAGUGCAGCAUUAGUACGUAAAUUAACGCGUACCCAAUAAGUAUCUAGCCUAACCCCAGAGAAAUAGUGACAAGGGGUCGACAUCGACACUUACUAGAGGUCCAAUAAAGCAAUAUAAUAAAUCAUAAGCAGAUAUGAAGCACACAACAAUAUUGGGGUAAAUCUGUAAGUUACAUAAUCUUCCAAAUAUUUCUUUUAAAGUAUGAAUUUCUCAAUCUUGUAUUCUACCUUAGCAGCUCAGAAAAUGUCAAGUGCCAAUAUCAAAUGAAUAAGGAAUACCAUAUAAAAUGUCGAGCAUCAGUGGACAGAUAAUCUCGCGAAUGUUCGGACUACCAGCGAUAUAAUGCAUGAUUAUGCCGAUGUCGUUCGGCCCGAUCCAAAAUAAUGUGUACACUACCGAGGGUCGAGUGGAAUGAACCAUAUAUGCAUCUAUUAUACUGUCGAGGCGUUCGGCCCGCUCCACAAGAAAGGAAUGAAAUUAUCGAAGUACGAGGCACAUGCUUACAAUAUAGUACAUGGACACAAUAAGAAAUAUACCCCUUUAGAUUCAUCAAAUAUCUUGGAAACAACUCAAGGUGAUAAAACUCAGCCUAAUAUAUUUAUGUGUUUCUAAAUCCAUUCGAGUUAAAAUUUUAAUUAAUUAAACUAGCAAAAUGAGUCCAAGCUAUUUAAAUAUUAUAUGAUAACGUCCUAAUCCUACCCGGACAUAAUUAUGCUUUAGCUACGUACAGACACUGAUCACCUCGUGCGUACGUAGCACCCACAACUAGUUGCACAUAAUAAUAAAUAUCACCUAGGGGUAGUUUCCCCCUUCACAAGGUUAAACAGGAGACUUACCUCACUCCGAAGUUCUAUAACCGGCUCUCGCGCCUCUCUAAUACCUCAAACCAAAGCCAUCGAUCCGAAACUAGUCAAACAUUAUGUAAAUCAAUCAAAAUAUACCCCAAUGCUUACAAUGUAACAUUUUAUAAAAAUUCCCAACUCCGCUCGAAAAGUCAAUAAAGUCACUCCCACGUGCCCGAAUUCCAAAUAUUUUUAAAGAUAAACUUUACCCAUAACACCAUGAACUCAAAUAUAUAAUUUGUUCCAAAUUUCAUGUCCAAUUUUGUGGUCAAAAUCCAAAAAUACAAAUUUUUACGUUUUCUAUGUAGGAAUAUAAACCAUGUAUUUAACUCACAAUAUGUAGGAAUUACUUACCUCGACAUAGGUGAUGAAAAUCUCCCCUCCAAGAGCUCCAAAAAUCGCCCAACCAAAUGUAAAUGUGAGAGAAAUGGGCUAAGUCUUGGAUUAAAAAUACCCCACUAUCCAGCGACCAUCGCACAUGCGGUCAAGUAGCCGCUUCUGUGGCUCUGCACCUACGGAAAGUCCAUCGAAGGUGCGGCUGCAGCUCAACCCAGCAUCCCUCGCUUCUGCGCCCCAUGUAGCACAUCUGCGCUUCUGCUUUUGGGGGCCUCAAGCGCUUCUACGCUCGCGCACAUGCCCGAUCAUGUCCGCUUCUGCAGCUCAGGCCUUCUUGGCCAACCUCCGCUUCAUCGACAUCUUCUCUGCAUCUGCGGUUCGCAUGUGUGGAAAUUUCCUCACACCUGUGCUCCCAGACAUCUUCCACAAAAAUAGCACCAGCGAUGGAUACUUCGUACCUACGGGAUCGCACCUGCGGCCAGUCCUUGCGCAGGUGCGAUAGCACCACACUUCAGCAGCAUCAGCAAGUCCUCAACUCCAAAUUUCUGUCCGUUUUCAAUCCAUUUCCAUCCCGAGGCCCCCGGGACCCAUCCAAACGUAUCAAUACAACCCAAUAUACAAUACGGACUUAGUCGAAGCCUUGAAUCAGUCCCAACAACAUCAAAUCUACGAAUCUACGAUCGAAAUAUUUCUUUAAGAAUUCAAACUUUUAAACUUCGACGAACGCGUCCGAAUCAUAUCAAAACAUUCUGAAAUGACGCCAAACUUUGCACACAAGUCAUAAAUCACAAUGCGAACCUAUUCCAAGGCUCAGAAUCCCAAACGGACUUCGAUAACACCAAAGUCCACUUCAAUUCAAACUUAACAAAUGCUAAAACCUUCAAAAUGCCAACUUUCCACAAUAAGCGCCGAAAUGCUCCCGGGUGAUCCGUUACUCAACCCGAACAUAUGCCUAAGUCCGAAAUCAUCAUACAAGCCUAUUGGAACCUUCAAAUCCCGAUUCCGAUGUCGUUUACUUAAAAGUCAAACCUUAGACAAUUCUUCCAACUUAAAGCUUCCGGAAUUAGAAUUUCCUUUCCAAAUUAACUCUGAACAUCCCCAAUUCAAUUCCAAACAAACGUACAAGUCAUAAUACAUGAAGUGAAUCUAUUUAAGUCCUCACAACACCGAACGACGCGGUAGUGCUCAAAAAAACCAGUCGGGUCAUUACAUUCUCCCCCACUUAAACAUACGUUCGUGCUUGAACGUGCUAAGGACUGCUCCGGAGUUGUCCAAAAAUAACUAUUUAACACCUCAUGUACUUACCCGUGCCACCACAACCCAGUUGAGCAUGUUAGCUUGAGCCAGUCCGAAGAUCUUUCCUAUAACCUUAGCUAACAAGCUUCAGAACCAAAUUCCAACAUCCAAAAUUUUCCACGAGACCCGAUUCUAACAUAUGAGCACUGCAUCAAUCACCAGACACUGUACCCAACAUGACCAUGCUCCUCCGCUAAAAUCACACCAUGCACCACGUAAUUCGCUUGACCAUAAUAACAUCCUCCGACCACAAUAGCGGUAAUUCCAUGAACCUGAUGCCCGCAAUACACCUCAUAACACAUAUAAGCCCUGAUCUAACUCUCGCAAUACAGCCACGGCGGAAGAGAUGUGUAGAAACUAAUAACCACGUGCUCAACAAAUCAUGGAUCUCUCCUCCGGACAAGAACCAUUACCUCAUGCUGAACUAAAUAACAAUAUUUGCUCUUUAAUAUACCCUACAUAACUCUGAUCGCACUGAUCCCAGGCCCAUACACUCGUCUCACCCAGUAAAAGCUGCUCAGGCAAUAAGCCAUCUCACACACUGCCCAGGAUUUCAUAUGAUGCCAUCAAUGCAACAACAAGCUACAACUUGAAUAUGACACAUAAAGAAGAAAAAACUCUAGGAAAGAACUACCCAGCCCGUGUAACUAAUAAAACGACCGAAUAUAUGCUAUGAACCUACCUUAGGGAUGAAAACAAGGCACACAAAAUAAGUGUAAGGAACUAUGCCAAACAUCUCAUUGUUGCGGUGUGCAACCCGAUCCAAUAUGACACUGUUGCGGCGUGCAACCCGAUCCACACAGCAUGCCCAUCGUGGCAUGCGAUCCGAUCCAAACAAUAUACCCAUGGCGGUGUGCCACCCGAUCCGCACAUAACAAUCAAGAAGAAAACAUACAUCAAGUCGUGCUGCUUAUACUUACGAAAUGCCUGAAUAUCAACCACAAGCAAACCAAGUGCGUAAUACAAAUCCUGAGGAGACGGAUAGUGCCAUACGCUACGAAACCCAAGCACAACUAUGGUGCGAUAAGUGACAUGCAUCUCGAGAGCCAUCAUUCUCAUAUAACACCACAAGCUACACAUGACCUCAACACACGUGCAAAUAAUCAAGCCGUCUCACAACCCACAUGGCACAAUAGAGAUUACAUGGAAUAGCUAACAACAGGAGUAACAUCCAAUGCCCGACUCCUCCUCCUUAAGCAAUGUUAUGACGAAUGAACACAUCCGACCUGACGUAGAUCACACAUUCACAUUAGACCCACCAACGGACCUUUAACCGAUUCUGAUCAUAUCAUACUGGGCCAAUAACCUUCUAAGGAUCCACAAUGGCCCCAUCCAUGACACACACGAGUAGCUGUCCACUCCGGACAAAACUCCCGCAAUUCACAACCAAGGAAUAGAGUGCCUUCCAGGCAUAAACUCUCAUAUUAACGAUAGUACAAAAAAUGUUCAUACUUGGUUUCAAUGUUUAACAAUCAAGUGACUAAAAUGUCACACUUUUACAAAUCUACCUGUGGGAUACGCUCCCACGACCUUCCGCACUAGAUAGCAAAGUCUGCACCUCCAUACCACCAACCGUACUAAUCAGUAAAGCAAUUCAAGAACCCGCAUAUCAAUACACAAUGCUCCUUCCACAGAACACCAUUCCUAGGCAACACUAGGAUAAUGUCAGCUUACUCUAAACAUCUAAAUUCUUCCCGGAUCAUCCGAGCUCGUGAUGUACUUGUCAAUACCGAACUGCAACCUCGAUCCUCAACUUUCAAAUUCCCAUGUCGCUCACUGCACCUAUCAUGCCGCUAUGCAAUAAUACAAGUAUUCAUCAUAACCCUUGAACUACUAGUAGAAUAAACACUUGUUGGAUAUAAACCUUUCACAUAGUUCAUUUCAGAAGAACCAAUGCUACACACAACUGAAUUCCCAAACCGCAAAAAAUACGAACCUCAAGUCGUGAUCUAAACCGCCAUGACUCUUCCCGAAUCCAUUUACACAACAAGGCCAUUUCAAUCAAAUACCUCCCAAAUCAAUCAAGCUGGGAUGGCUGUCGAGCCCACAGGUACAACCACAAACCACAUAUAUAACUUCACACGCCGAAGGAACUGAUCAUUGCCACAAUCAUGCUGAUUUAACCAUUACUAACUGAACCAACUUCUUCUAAUUCACUCUUGAUUUGCCUUAGAAAUAAUAGUAGCUCCAUUCAAGAAUCGUAACGAAACUCAACAACACCCCUCCCGAGUGACCCACUAUAUGAGACCACAUCAUCUCAAUACCUAUGAACCAUCUCAUACCUUCCUCAUGUGCACAAUAGCAUCUCCAACUGGUACACCUAUUCUGAAAGACCUCCCGCGAAUCCGAAACUGUUCCUCCCAUUUUUCCAAUAUUGCCCCGCAGACCCGAUGAUAACAUAGAAAAUUCCCCAAGUAUUCCUCACACCUUGUUGCAAAAUCCCGGUCUCCAGCCACAUAACAAACCCAUUAGAACCACUGUUGAGGGUCACCCACUCUGACUUGGUCGCGAACAUAAGCCAAACUAUAGUGCGCUGUCAGCAUAUGAACACUCCCAAAGAAGCAACCGAAUGAAUUAUUUUUCCUUGCACAUCACAUCUACCAGAAGCAUAAACUAUAAGUCUCCCCAAAAUCUGUGCAUGAAUCGAUAAGACAAAAUAUAACACACAUUCAUCAAAUCCUUUGUUCGAACUACCCAUGAUUUUUCCUUUUCUUAGUCAUAAAUAAUCCACAAAUGACCCAAUAACCAGAAGGUGCACAAGUAGACAACCACGCGAACCAAUGGUAGAUAGUGGGCUCCGCCACAUAAUGUAGAGCCCAUAAUGAUUCCUCCUUCCCAAUCACCAUGAUAUUGCAUCGUUAACCUACAAAAUUCUCAAAACUUCUUGUUAAACAUUUCAUAAAACAUCUCGAAUUAUCAGCCACAAUUGCCUGUGCGACCUCCCGCUGGAAAGUAAGUAGAGAUAGCCCACAUGUGGAAUUCCCUACCGACAUCUCCCAAUGACGAUGCACUGGGUACAACUACCAUGAACUUAAUAAACCCUCCUGAUCCCGUGCUCAUCCACCAGUUGUACAAGUCUGUUCAGUCCCAAUUCACAUCAACUGAAAGUCCGACGAUACAUUCCAAACUCGAAGUCAUGUUUCACACCUCUUCAUUUCUAGCAAACUCCCGCCGCCAUAAUCAAGCUUCCUCCAUCCGGCAGCCACCAUCCCAAAAUAAAAUGCAUAGGCUUAGUCAUUAUCCACCUUGAUUCCCAAAUCGCUCUAAACUUUCCUCAAGGUAAGUGGCUUUCCUGCCACAGAAUUCAUAUGCUACUCUACCACUCCGACUCCGGUUAAACCACAUCCUUUAAGCAACUUGUCGACCUCUGCUCUUCAUACUUGACCUGCUAGUAAUUUGACCACCGUGAGACACCUCCCGCCAUGUCCUUCCUCAUCCUUCGCUGCCCAAAUGUUGCCUCAAAUAAAAAUCCUUCUCUGUAGCACCUGAACUAAUAAAUUGCUACCAACUCUACGCCUUCUCGAAGAUCAUCUUUCUCGAGCCAUUCACUUUCGAAGCACCGGUUCAAUUAUGAAAUUGCUACAUACAGCCAUCUCUGACAACCGCUUCUUAAACACUAUUUCACCACACACUACCCCGAAGGCAAAUCAAAGAAGAUCGUAACACCGACGAACCUUAAUAGAUUCAAACAAGCACGACGACACCACAUCGCAAAUAAAAAUUCCACCACGCUCAAAAAUAUCAAGUCGCGUUACUCCAUUAACCAACACUUGAACAUCCAUAGUUCUGAUUGCCCUUCCUCCACUGGAAUUAGAUUCCGAACCUCUAAACCGUGAACUGAUAAAUCGUCCUUUCGAUUCAUUCACUGCCGCAAUCCAUAAAUAAGCACCAUACCAUUACACCAACACUGUGCGAUAACAACGCAUGAACAUCAUAGAAAUUUGUACAUAGCCUCAAACUAUAGGAAAUACAGAUUCUAAGCUAAAAUGAUAGAACAUCCUACCGCAAGGCGAUGAUAAUAGCCUGCCCGAAUACGCAGGGAAAACAUCUUGCACCACCACUAAAAAUCCCCGAUGCCCAAUUGAUAACAAGCGCUUCACGUAGCAUAAGAUUGAGUAGGAAGGGAGUAAAGGCAUAAGCCUCAAAAGAAUCAAAUCGCACGAUGAAGAAUCUAGAAGGGAAGUUCUCCUAACAACCCUGUAGCCUCUCGAAGAUAAGUACAAACAUAUCCGUACCGAUCCGCAAGACUCUUCUAGACUUUCUCAUAAAUUGUGAGAUCUAAGUGAACCUAACGCUCUGAUACCAAGCUGUCACAACCCAACGUCAGACAAGCCAACAGUGAUUUAUCAAUUUAAUUACUCAUUUUUAUUACUUAUAAAAUCAUAGAUAAGGAAGGAGAUUUACACUUCUAAAUCCACGGGAACGUUCAACAUUUGUACUUUAUAAAAGAAAUUAAAGGUGAUAAUAAUAUAUGAAAUUGUAAGCGUCAACUAGUAUAACCCCAAAACCCGGUGUCAUACGUGCAUGAGCAUUUUCCAAGGACUACAAUAAAAAUACAACAUAUGUCCAUAAUGCAAAUAAGACAGGAUAAAAUAAAUAGUAUGAUGAAGACUCGAUGGACUACGAUGCAUAGUCUGGAAUUUAGCUCACAUAAAGUCCCCUCAACAUAUUCGCCUACAGUCCAAGAUGAUCACCAAACGAACCUGUCAGAUCCUGUACAUUUAGUGCAGAAUUGCAGCAUGAGUACGUAAAUCAACGCGUGCCCAGUAAGUAUCUAGCCUAACCCCAGAGAAUAGUGAUGAGGGGUCGACAUCGACACUUACUAGAGGUCCAAUAAAACAAUAUAAUAAAUCAUAAGCAUAUAUGAAGUACACAAAAAUAAUGGAGUAAAUCUAUAAGUUACAUAAUUUUCCAAAUAUUUCUUUUAAAGUAUGAAUUUCAAAAUCUUGUAUUAUACCUUAACAACUCAAAAAAUUUCAAGUGCGAAUAUCAAAUGAAUAAGGAAUACCAUAUAAAAUUUCGGGCAUCAAUGAAAAAAUAAUCCCGUGAAUGUUCGGACUACCAGUGCUAUAACGCAUGAUUAUGCCGAGGUCAUUCAGCCCGAUCCAGAAUAAUGUGUACGCUGCCAAGGUUCGUGCGGCAUGAAUCAUAGAUUCAUCUAUUAUACUGCUGUAACGACCCGGACGGUCGUUUCAUGAGUUAUAGCCCUGUUCCCCAAUUUCCUGCUUCUUUUGUUUUAUUCAGCUAUGUUAUGAUAUACCGGGUUAGUUGGUUCGAGUCCGGAGUGGUUUCGGUGUGAAUUGAGACACUUAGUCUCUUUAUUAGAAGAUUAAGUUGGAAAAGUCAACCGAAUGUUGACUUACGUGUAAAUGAUCUAGGAAUUGAAUUUUGGUGGUUCUGUAGCUCUGUUAGGUGAUUGUGGACAUAGGAGCGUGCCCGAAAUAUGAUUUGGAGGUUCGUGGUAGAAUUAGGCUUGUAUUGGCGAAAAUUAGAAUUUUAGCGAUUUUGGCCGACAGUGGAAAUUUUGAUAUCGGGGUCGGAUUGGAUUUCUGGAAGUCGGAGUAGGUUCUUGGUGUCACUUCUAAAUUGUGUACAAAAUUUAAGGUCAUCUAGACGUGAUUUGGUAGGUUUCAACAUUGUUUGUGGAAUUCAAAAGUUUAGAAGUUCUUAGGCUUGAAUCCAGGCGUAAUUUUGUGUUUUGGUGUUGAUCUUAGUGAUCCGAAGGUUCAAUAGAGUUUGUAUAAGGUUAUUGGAUAUGUUGGUAUUUUUAGUUAUGGUCCCGAGGGCCUUGGGGUGAUGCCGGGUGGUUAACGGAAGAAUUAGAGUUGACGAAAUGUAGCUGAAGCUGCUGGUUCUGGUAUCUUCCGCCCUUGCGGAGUGGGAGCCGCAGGAGAAAUUGAGCAGCCGCAGAUGUGGCCAUGGAGGACUUGGGUAGGAACCGUCCGUGCGAAGGUAUUCCCGCACCUGCGUGAGUCGAAGAUGCGGGCAGGUAGGUGCAUGUGCGAGUUUUGACCGCAGACGCGAGAGAGUUUCUGCACCUAGGUAGGGCGCAGAUGCGGUCUUGAGGCCGCAGGAGCGAAGUCGAUAUUUUAAGUGAAAUCCGCACAUGAGAUGGAAUUUUCGCAGGUGCGGCAUCACAGAAGGGAUCAAUAGACCGCAGGUGCGGUAUUGCUGGGUAGAAAAGUACCAGCUCGAGGUUUUGUCUUUCAUUUUCAAUUUUGGACAUGAGAAACUCGGGAGUGAGGCGAGUUUUUGAAGGNNNNNNNNNNNNNNNNNNNNNNNNNNNNNNNNNNNNNNNNNNNNNNNNNNNNNNNNNNNNNNNNNNNNNNNNNNNNNNNNNNNNNNNNNNNNNNNNNNNNNNCAUCAUUUAAUUAGGGAUUGGAAUUGGAAAUUUGGGGAUUUAGGGCUUGGGAAUUAGAGAGUGAUCUUUGAGGUUUUGGAGGAGCAAUCGAGGUCGGAUUUUGGCAAAUUUGGUAUGACUAGACUAGUGAGUGAAUGCGCUUUCGGGUUUUGUGAUUUUUGUUGGAUUCCAAGACGUGGUCUCGGGGGCCAGGUUUGAGUCGAUUUUGGAUAUUGGCUAUAAUUUGGUAUUUUUCUUGUGGAAUGGAUUCCUUUAGCCUUUAUUCAUUGUAUUGUAUUACUUGUGCUUAUAUUCGGGACGUUCAGAGGCUGAAUUGAGAUGCAAGGGCAUUUCAGAGUAGGACUUUGCUUGGUUUGAGGUAAGUAACAUUUUCAAACUUGGUUCUGAGGGUUCGAGACCCCAAAUUAUAUGCUAUGUGAUUGGUAUUGAGGUGACGCACAUGCUAAGUGAUGGGCGUGCGGGCGUACACCGUGAGGAUUGUAACCUAGGUGGUUCUAUGGCACCAUUUAGUGAUUCUAUCAUGUUGAUAUCCAUGUUUUCAUCAUGUGAUAAAGUAGUUGAGCUGUAAAUCAGUCUUUUAGGCCUUGUGCCAGUAUUGUUUGGACCCUUAGUGGUCGUUUCUUCCUGUCAUCUCACUAGUUUUCAUUCACUAUUUCAUACUGAGUUAUGAUCAUGCAUUUUUAUAUCAUAUCUCGGUCUUAGUUAUUUAUUGAUUCAUCAUAUCAUUGUUCCGGGUUGUUUUCAUGACAUUGUGAGCUCGUGGCGAGACUGGAGAGGUUGAUGACUAAGUGAGGCCGAGUGCCUGGUUAUGAGUGAUAGUUAUUGGAUCGGGCUGCACGUCGCAGUGGUUAUAUUUAUGAUUAUGAUAGCACUUGGGCUAUAGGAGCCCCUCCGGAGUCUGUAACACCCCCUAGUGAGCACAGAUGAUAUUAUUGAGGGAUGGAUUUCCCUGGACAUGGAUUUUUCCGAAGUACUUGAUACCUGGAGAUGGAUUUCUCCACAGGGUUGGAUUGCCCUUUUUCCUCAGUACUGGUGACUUAUAGUCAGUGUUAUAUAUGUUCCGGGAUGGAUUUCCCUAGGCUGGAUGGCCAUAUACAGUACCGAGUGGUUGAAUACUUGAGAGUGGAGCACAUGGUGCAUUUCAUACAGUUUGUGUAUUCGCAUGUAGAGAUAGAUGAGUUGUAUACCUUACAUUGUUCAGAUAUGUAUUUCCUUUACUGUUUGACCUGUAUAUUUGACUUGAAAGCAUGCCUACAUUUCUGCACAUUUAUUUCUGUUAUACUUGUUGAGGUUGAGUUCAUCACUACCUUUCACUCCAAAGUUUGGACUUGUUACUUACUGAGUUGGUGUAUUCACGUUACUCCCCGCACCUCAUGUGCAGAUCCAGGCGAUACCGAUCAUAGCGGCGAUUGCUGAUUGAAGAUCCUAGAGUUUUGGAGACUGUCAAGGUAGCUGCACUGCGUUCGCGGGCCUUGACUCUCCUUCUUUAUCUUUGUCGUACUUUCAGUUUACAUCUCUAGACACUGUAGUAGACUGUAUUUCGGAUCUAGACGCUCAUGUACUCAGUGACACCCUUAUUUUGGGCUGGAUUGUACCACUUUUUGAUUUUCAUAUGUUUUAAAUAUUUUUUAUUUAAUGUUAAAUGCUUUUGUUAACAUUUUCAAACUCAUUGUUGGGUGUGUUGGGUUGUUGAGUUGAGGCUGGCCUAGUUCCAUGAUAGGCGCCAUAACGAUGAUUGAUUUUGGGUCUUGACAACUUGGUAUCAGAGCCUAGGUUACAUAGGUCUCAUCAGUCAUGAGCGAAUUUAGUAGAGUCUUGUGGAUCAGUACGGAGACGUCUGUACUUAUCUUCGAGAGCUUGUAGAACCCUUAGGAAACUCCACAUUCUUGAAUUCUUGUCGUGCGAGUCUGUUGAUUCUAGUAACUAAACAUUUGUUGUUCCGUUCUCUCACAGAUGGUGAGGACUCGUACUACCGGGCAGGAGGGACAGCCACCAGUACCACUAUCCAGGGCCGCAAGACGCCGAGGGAGGUAGAGGCCGCGGUAGGGGCAGAGGUGCAACCCGUACAACAGCUGGGGCAAUACCUGCAGAUCCACGAGUUGCCCCAGAUCAGGACCAGAUUCCAGUUGUUGAUGAACCAACUCAAGCACCACCUGUGCCUAUUGUGAUUCCAGGCCUUCAGGAGGCCUUAGCUCAGAUUUUGACCGGGUGUACCAGUCUUGCUCAGGCGGUCUCUGUUCCGGCCGCAACAGCCACUUCUUAGGCCGGGGGAGGUGCUCAAACUACUACUGCCCGCACACCAGAGCAGGUGGUACAGGAAUUCCGGACACCGGGGGCACCACCAGCCCAGCCAGUUGCAACUGCUUAGGACUAUGUGGUUCUUGCUAUGCCUGAGGAUGAACAACAUAGAUUGGAGAGGUUUGGAAGACUCCAACCUCCAUCUUUCAAUGGUGUAGAGGGAGAGGAUGCACAUGGUUUCUUGGACAAGUGUCAGAGGAUACUCCGUACAGUAGGUAUUGUGGAGACCAGUGGGGUCUCAUUACUACCUUUUAGUUCUCUAGGGCUGCAUUCAGUUGGGUGAGAGGCAUAGGCUAGUCGGUGCAGUGCCCCUUACCUGGCAGCAGUUCUCCGUUAUCUUUUUGGAGAAGUUCGUGCCUCAGUACCACAGAGAGGAGCUGCGCAUAUAGUUUGAGCAGCUUUGUCAGGGUGAUAUGUCUGUGACGCAUUAUGAGAUGCGAUUAUCGGAGUUAGCCCGUCAUGCUAUCUGGUUGGUUCCCACAGACAGGGAGAGGAUCAGGAGGUUUAUAGAUGGCCUCACUUAUCAGCUGCGAUUGCUUAUGAGCAGGGAGAGAGUGUCUUGUGCUACUUUUGAUGAGGUUGUCGACAUUGCUUAUCAAAUUAAGAUUGUUCGGAGUCAGGAGAGGGUUAAGAGGGAAGCCAAGAGGCCUCGUGGAUAGGGAGGAUUUAGUGGUGCUCCUUCCUGGGGUCAGUUACAGCAUGGUAGAGGUCGUCCUUUCAGGCAUGCUCAGACGGCUCGCCUAGUGCACCGAGGUGCAUCAUCCGGUCAUAGGCCCCAUGUUUAUCAGCUCGGCCAGGCAUCAUUUGGUGCGCUACCAGCUUAGGGUUCAUCAGUGUCAGGAGCUUCUAACGGGUAUUACUAGUGCUCGGGGUUCCUUUCAGUCCCCAAUGGCCUUUAGAGGUUGCUUUGAGUGUGGAGAUUUGGGCCAUAUCAAGAGGUUUUGUCCCUGCCUGACGGGAGGUUCAUCUCAGGAGAGGAGUCAGCCUUCGACUUCGGCACCAGUUCCUCCACCACCCGCCCAGCCAGCUAGGGGCAGAGUUCAUUCAGCUAGGGACCGUCCGAGAGGGGGAGGCCGAUCAGGGGGCAGCCAGGCCCGUUUCGAUGCCCCCUAUCCAGACCAGAUGCCAUUGCUUUAGAUGCUGUGAUUACAGGUAUUGUUUCGGUUUGCCACCGAGAUGCCUCGGUAUUAUUUGACCCUGGGUCUACUUAUUCAUAUACUUCCUCAUAUUUUGCUCAUUUUCUGGAUAUGCCCUGUGAGUCUUUAGUUUCAUCUGUUCAUGUAUCUACGCUUGUGGGUGAUACUAUUAUUGUGGACUGUGUAUAUCAAUCAUGUAUGGUGACCAUUGGGGGUCUGGAGAUAAGAGUGGAUCUUUUGUUGCUCAAUAUGGUCGAUUUUAUGUAAUAUUGGGUAUGGAUUGGCUGUCUCCAUGUCAUGUUGUUCUAGAUUUUCACGCUAAGACUAUGACGUUGGCAAUUCCGGGGUUGCCAAGUGUUGAGUGGAGUGGUUCUAUGUGACUAGUAGGGUGAUUUCAUAUUUGAAGGCCCAGCGUAUGGUGGAGAAGGGUUGUCUAUCCUAUUUGGCUUUUGUGAGGGAUGUUAGUGUAUAGACCCCUACCAUUAAUUCUAUUCCAGUGGUACGUGAUUUUCUGGAUGUGUUUCCUGCAGACCUGCCGGGCAUGCCUCCUGACAGGGAUAUUGAUUUGGUGCUGGGGACUCAGCCCAUUUCUAUUCCACCGAAUCGUAUGGAACUGGUGGAGUUGAAGGAGUUGAAGGGACAGCUUCAGGAACUCCUUGAUAAGGGGUUUAUUUGGUCUAGAGUGUCAUCUUGGGGUGCACCGGUUCUACUUAUUUGUAAAGUAGAAUGAUGGUUCUAUGAGGAUGUGUAUUGACUACAGGCAGUUGAACAAGGUCACGGUCAAGAACAAGUAUCCUUUGCCAUGCAUUGAUGAUCUAUUUGACCAGCUUCAGGGGGCGAGGGUGUUCUCCAAGAUUGAUUUGAGGUCUCGGUAUCACCAGCUGAAGAUUUGGGAUUCGGAUAUUCUUAAAACAGCUUCCAAGACCCGAUAUGGCCAUUAUGAGUUCUUAGUGAUAUCUUUUGGGCUGACCAAUGCCCCAACAACAUUCAUGCAUUUGAUUAACAGUGUAUUCCAACCCUAUUUGGACUCAUUGGUUAUUGUAUUCAUUGAUGACAUCAUGGUGUACUCUCGCAGCCAGGAGGAGCAUCCUCAGCAUUUGAGGAUUGUAUUACAGAGAUUGAGGGAGGAGAAGCUUUAUGCAAAGUUCUCCAAGUGUGAGUUUUGGCUCGGUUCAUUAUCAUUCUUGGGCACGCGGUGUCCAGUGAGGGUAUUCAGGUGGAUCCGAAGAAGAUAGAAACGGUGCAGAGUUGGCCUAGACCAUCCUCAGCCACGGAGAUUAGGAGCUUCCUUGGGCUUGCAGGCUAUUACCGUCGCUUUGUGGAGUGAUUUUCAUCUAUUACAUGGCCCUUAACCAAAUUGACCCAAAAGAGUGCUCUAUUCAGGUGGUCGAAUGAUUGUGAGGAGAGCUUCCAGAAGCUCAAGACUGCUUUGACCACAACUCCAGUUCUAGUUUUGCCGUCAGCUUCAGGUUCUUACAACGUGUAUUGUGAAGCUUCGAGGGUAGGUAUUGGAUGUGUUCUGAUGCAGGUGAGUAGGGUGAUUACCUAUGCCUCGCACCAAUUGAAGACUAAUGAGAAGAACUAUCUUUUCCAUGACCUUGAGUUAGCAGCUAUUAUGCAUACCUUAAAGAUUUGGCGGCACUAUUUGUACGGGGUUCAUUGUGAGGUUAAGUAUUGUGGCUCGGUGUCUCAACUUUCAGCAGGUUAAGUAUGAACAUCAGAUAUCGGGUGGUUUGCUUUAGAGGUUAGAUAUCCCAUAGUGGAAGUGGGAGCGGAUCACCAUGCACUUCGUAGUUGGGUUCCCACGGACUUCGGGGAAGUUCGAUGCUAUUUGGGUUAUUGUGGAUCGGCUGAGCAAGUACGCGCACUUCAUUCUAGUUGAUACUACUUACUAUUCAAUGCGGUUGGCUGAGAUUUACAUCCGAGAGAUUAUUCGCCUGCAUGGUGUUCUAGUUUCCAUCAUUUCGGAUAGGGGCACUCAGUUUACAUUGUAAUUUUGGAGGGCCGUGCAGCGAGAGUUGGGUACUCAGGUUGAUUUGAGCACAACCUUUCACCCUCAGAUGAACGGACACUCCGAGUGCACUUUUCAGAUAUUGGAGGACAUGCUACGCGCUUGUGUCAUUGAUUUUGGGGGUUCAUGAGACCAGUUUUUGCCACUCGCGGAGUUUGCAUAUAACAACAGUUAUCAGUCGAGCAUUCAGAUAGCUCCGUACGAGGCUUUAUAUGGAAGGAGGUAUAGAUCUCCAGUAGGAUGGUUUGAGCUGGGUGAGGCUAGGCUCUUGGGUGCAGACUUGGUCCAGGAUGCAUUAGACAAGGUGAAAUUGAUUCAGAAGCAACUUCGCAUGGAGGAGUCUAGGCAGAAGAGCUAUGCGGACAGGAAGGUCUGUGAUGUGUCUUUCAUGGUCGGAGAGAAAGUUUUGCUGAAGGUAUAACCCAUGAAGCGUGUUAUGAGGUUUGGGAAGAGGGGAAAGUUGAGCCCCCGGUUCAUUAGGCUUUUUGAGGUGCUUCAGAGGAUAGGGGAGGUGACUUAUAAGCUUUCCUUGCCACCCAGCUUGUCGAGUGGGCAUCCAGUGUUUCAUGUUCCUAUGCUCCGGAAGUAUAUUGGCGAUCCGUCCCAUAUUUUGGACUACAGCAAGGUUCAGUUGGAUAGUGAUAUGACUUAUGAUGUAGAGACGGUGGCCAUUUUGGAGCGGCAGGUUCGAAAGUUGAGCUCACAGGAUAUAGCUUCAAUGAAGGUGUAGUGGGGAGGUCUGCCUGUGGAGGAGGCCACCUGGGAGACCGAGCGGGAGAUGCGGAGCAGAUAACCACACCUAUUUGAGGCUCUAGGUAUGUUUCUAGACACGUUCGAGGACGAACAUUUGUUUUAGAGAGGGAAGAUGUAACGACCUGACCGGUCGUUUCGAGAGUUAUAGCCCCGUUCCCCCAUUUCCUGCUUCCUUUUGUGUUCUUCAGCUAUAUUAUGAUAUACCGUCUUACUUGGUUCAAGUCCGGAGUGGUUUCAGAGUGAAUCAAGAUACUUAGUCUCUUUAUUAGAAGCUUAAGUGGGAAAAGUCAAACGGAUGUUGACUUAUAUGUAAACAAUCUCGGAUUUGCUUUUUCAUGGUUUGCUUAGCUCUAUUAGGUGAUUGUGGACUUAAGAGCGCGUCCGAAUUGUGAUUUGGAGUUCCGUGGUAGAAUUAGGCUUGAAUUGGCAAAAAUUAGAAUUUUGGCGAUUUUGGCCGGCAGUGGAAAUUUUGAUAUCUGGGUCGGAUUGGAUUUCUGGAAGUUGGAGUAGGUUUGUGGUGUCCUUUUUAACUUGUGUGAAAAAUUUGAGGUCAUUCGGACGUGGUUUGGUAGGUUUCAGCAUCGUUUGUGGAAUUCAGAAGUUUAGAAGUUCUUAGGCUUGAAUCCGGGCGUAAUUUGAUGUUUUUAUGUUGAUUUGAGUGAUCCGAACGGUCUGAUACAAAGCUUUCACGACCCAAAUUCCACUAUAGGUCAUGAUGGCGCCUAACGCCACCGUCAGGCAGCCAACAAUGAUUUAUCAAUUCAAUUACUCAUUUUUAUUACUUUUGAAAUCAUAGAUAAGGAAGGAGAUUUACACUGCUAAAUCAACGUGAACGUGCAACAUUUGUAGUUUAUAAAAGAAAUUAAAGGCGAUAAUAAUAUAUAAAACUGUAAGCAUCAACUAGUAUAACCCCAAAACCCGGUGUCACAAGUGCAUUUGCAUUUUCUAAGGACUACAAUAAUAAUACAACAUCUGUCCAGAAUGUAAAUAAGAUAGGAUAAAAUAAACAGUACGAUGAAGACUUGGUGGACUGCGAUGCGUAGUAUGGAAUGUAGCUCACAUAAAGUCCCCUCAAGAAGUGCGCCUACCCUAGAGGAUGAUCACCAAACGAUCCUGUCAGAUCCUGCACAUUUAGUGCAGAAGUGCAGCAUGAGUACGUAAAUCAAUGCGUACCUAGUACGUAUCUAGCCUAACCCCGGAGAAGUAGUGAUGAGGGGUCAACAUUGACACUUACUAGAGGUUCAAUAAAGCAAUAUAAUAAAUCAUAAGCAGAUAUGAAGCACACAACAAUAAUGGAGUAAAUCUGUAAGUUACAUAAUCUUCCAAAUAUUUCUUUUAAAGUAUGAAUUUCUCAAUCUUAUAUUAUACUUUAACCGCUCAGAAAAUUUCAAGUGCCAAUAUCAAAUGAAUAAGAAAUACCAUAUAAAAUUUCGGGCAUCAAUGGAAAGAUAAUCAUGUGAAUGUUCGGACUACCAGCGAUAUAACGCAUGAUUGUGCCGAGGUCAUUCGGCCCGAUCCAGAAUAAUGUGUACACUGCCGAGGGUCGAGCGGCACAAAUUGUAGAUUCAUCUAUUAUACUGUUGUAACGACCCGGUCGUUUCGAGAGUUAUAGCCAUGUUCCCCCAUUUCUUGCUUCUUUUUGUGUUCUUCAUCUAUAUUAUGAUAUACCGGGUUAGUUGGUUCGAGUCCGGAGUGGUUUCGAAGUGAAUUGAGACACUUAGUCUCUUUAUUAGAAGCUUAAGUGGGAAAAGUCAACCGGAUGUUGACUUAUAUGUAAACGAUCUCGGAUUUGCAUUUUCAUGGUUCCCUUAGCUCUAUUAGGUGAUUGUGGACUUAAGAGAGCGUACGAAUUGUGAUUUGGAGUUCCGUGGUAGAAUUAGGCUUGAAUUGGCGAAAAUUAAAAUUUUGGCGAUUUUGGCCGGCAGUGGAAAUUUUGAUAUCGGGGUCGGAUUGGAUUUCUGGAAGUUGGAGUAGGUUUGUGGUGUCCUUUUUAACUUUUGUGAAAAAUUUGAGGUCGUCCGGACGUGGUUUGGUAGCUUUCGGCAUCGUUUGUGGAAUUCAAAAGUUCAGAAGUUCUUAGGCUUGAAUCUGGGAAUAAUUUGAUGUGUUGAUGUUGAUUUGAGUGAUCCGAACUAUCUAAUACCAAGCUAUCACGACCCAAAUUCCACUAUAGGUCGUGAUGGCACCUAACGCCACCGUCAGGCAUGCCAACAGUGAUUUAUCAAUUCAAUUAGUCAUUUUUAUUACUUUUGACAUCAUAGAUAUGGAAGGAGAUUUACACUUCUAAAUCAACGUGAACGUGCAACAUUUGUAGUUUAUAAAAGAAAUUAAAGGCGAUAAUAAUAUACAAAACUAUAAGCAUCAACUAGUGUAACCCCAAAACCCGGUGUCACAAGUGCAUGGGCAUUUUUUAAGGACUACAAUAAUAAUACAACAUCUGUCCAUAAUGUAAAUAAGAUAGGAUAAAAUAAAUAGUACGAUGAAGACUCGGUGGACUGUGAUGCGUAGUCUGGAAUGUAGCUCACAUAAAGUCCCCUCAACAAGUGCGCCUACCCGCGAGGAUGAUCACCAAACGAUCCUGUCAGAUCCUGCACAUUUAGUGUAGAAGUGCAGCAUGAGUACGUAAAUCAACGCGUACCCAGUACGUAUCUAGCCUAACCCCAGAGAAGUAGUGAUAAGGGGUCGACAUCGACACUUACUAGAGGUCCAAUAAAGCAAUAUAAUAAAUCAUAAGCAGAUAUGAAGCACACAACAAUAAUGGAGUAAAUCUGUAAGUUACAUAAUUUUCCAAACAUUUCUUUUAAAGUAUGAAUUUGUUAAUCUUGUAUUAUACCUUAACAGCUCAGAAAAUUUCAAGUGCCAAUAUCAAAUGAAUAAGAAAUACCAUAUAAAAUUUCGGGCAUCAAUGGAAAGAUAAUCUUGUGAAUGUUCGGACUACCAGCGAUAUAACGCAUGACUAUGCCGAGGUCAUUCGGCCUGAUCCAGAAUAAUAUGUACACUGACGAGGGUCGAGCGGCACGAAUUAUAGAUUCAUCUAUUAUACUGUUGUAACGACCCGGUCAUUUCGAGAGUUAUAGCCCUGUUCCCCAAUUUCCUGCUUCUUUUGUUUUAUUCAGCUAUGUUAUGAUAUACCGGGUUAGUUGGUUCGAGUCCGGAGUGGUUUCGGUGUGAAUUGAGACACUUAGUCUCUUUAUUAGAAGCAUAAGAUAGAAAGGUCAACUAGAAGUUGACUUAUGUGUAAACGAUCUCGAAUUUGAAUUUUGAUGGAUCUGUUAGCUCCGUUAGGUGAUUGUGGACAUAGGAGCGCGUCCGGAAUAUGAUUUUGAGUCCCGUGGUAGAAUUAGGCUUGAAUUGGCAAAAAUUAGAAUUUUGCCGAUUUUGGCCGGCAGUGGAAAUUUUGAUAUCGUCGUCAGAUUGGAUUUCUGGAAGUUGGAGUAGGUUCGUGUUGUCAUUUCUAACUUGUGUGCAAAAUUUGAGGUCAUCCGCACGUGGUUUUAUAGGUUUUGGCAUCGUUUGUGGCAUUCGGAAGUUUAGAAGUUCUUAGGCUUGAAUCAGGGCGUAAUUUGGUGUUUUGAUGUUGAUUUGAGUGAUCCGAAGGUUCGACUAAGUUUGUAUAAGGUUAUAGGAUAUGUUGGUAUGUUUGGUUGUGGUCCCGAGGGCCUCGAGGUGAUUCCGGUUGGUUAACGGAAGAAUUGGAGUUGAUGAAAUGCAGUUGAAGCUGCUGGUUCUGGUGUCUUCCGCACCUGCGGAGUGGGAGCCACAGGUGCGAGCCCGCAGGAGCGACUGAGGAGCCGCAGAUACGGGCAUGGAGGAGCUGAGUAGGAACCGCAGGUGCGAAGGUAUUCCCGCACCUACGUGAGUCACAGAUGCGGGCAAGCAGGCAGGCACAUGUGCGAGUUUUAACCGCAGAAGCGAGAGAGUUUCCGCACCUGCGAAGGGCGCAGAUGCGGUCUUGAGGCCGCAGGAGCGAAGUCGAUAUUUUAAGUGAAAUCCGAACAUGCGAUGGAAUUUCCGCACGUGCGGCAUCGCAGAAGCGAUCAAUGGACCGCAAGUGCGGUAUUGCUGGGCAGAAAAGCACCAGCUCGAGGUUUUGUCUUUUUUUUUCAAUUUUGGACGUGAGAAACUCGGGAGUGAGGCAAUUUUUCGAAGGUUUUCAAGGAGCAACAUUGGGGUAAGUGAUUCUAANNNNNNNNNNNNNNNNNNNNNNNNNNNNNNNNNNNNNNNNNNNNNNNNNNNNNNNNNNNNNNNNNNNNNNNNNNNNNNNNNNNNNNNNNNNNNNNNNNNNNNNNNNNNNNNNNNNNNNNNNNNNNNNNNNNNNNNNNNNNNNNNNNNNNNNNNNNNNNNNNNNNNNNNNNNNNNNNNNNNNNNNNNNNNNNNNNNNNNNNNNNNNNNNNNNNNNNNNNNNNNNNNNNNNNNNNNNNNNNNNNNNNNNNNNNNNNNNNNNNNNNNNNNNNNNNNNNNNNNNNNNNNNNNNNNNNNNNNNNNNNNNNNNNNNNNNNNNNNNNNNNNNNNNNNNNNNNNNNNNNNNNNNNNNNNNNNNNNNNNNNNNNNNNNNNNNNNNNNNNNNNNNNNNNNNNNNNNNNNNNNNNNNNNNNNNNNNNNNNNNNNNNNNNNNNNNNNNNNNNNNNNNNNNNNNNNNNNNNNNNNNNNNNNNNNNNNNNNNNNNNNNNNNNNNNNNNNNNNNNNNNNNNNNNNNNNNNNNNNNNNNNNNNNNNNNNNNNNNNNNNNNNNNNNNNNNNNNNNNNNNNNNNNNNNNNNNNNNNNNNNNNNNNNNNNNNNNNNNNNNNNNNNNNNNNNNNNNNNNNNNNNNNNNNNNNNNNNNNNNNNNNNNNNNNNNNNNNNNNNNNNNNNNNNNNNNNNNNNNNNNNNNNNNNNNNNNNNNNNNNNNNNNNNNNNNNNNNNNNNNNNNNNNNNNNNNNNNNNNNNNNNNNNNNNNNNNNNNNNNNNNNNNNNNNNNNNNNNNNNNNNNNNNNNNNNNNNNNNNNNNNNNNNNNNNNNNNNNNNNNNNNNNNNNNNNNNNNNNNNNNNNNNNNNNNNNNNNNNNNNNNNNNNNNNNNNNNNNNNNNNNNNNNNNNNNNNNNNNNNNNNNNNNNNNNNNNNNNNNNNNNNNNNNNNNNNNNNNNNNNNNNNNNNNNNNNNNNNNNNNNNNNNNNNNNNNNNNNNNNNNNNNNNNNNNNNNNNNNNNNNNNNNNNNNNNNNNNNNNNNNNNNNNNNNNNNNNNNNNNNNNNNNNNNNNNNNNNNNNNNNNNNNNNNNNNNNNNNNNNNNNNNNNNNNNNNNNNNNNNNNNNNNNNNNNNNNNNNNNNNNNNNNNNNNAAUUGGAAAGUUUGGGAUUUAGGGCUUGGGAAUUGGAGAGUGAACUUUGGGGUUUUAGAGGGGCAAUCGAGGUCGGAUUUUGGUAAAUUUGGUAUGACUAGACUCGUGUGUGUAUGGGAUUUCAGGUUUUGUGAUUUUUGUUGGAUUCCGAGACGUGGGCCCGGGGGACGGGUUUGAGUCGAUUUCGGAUUUUGGCUAUAAUUUGGUAUAUUUCUUGUGGAAUUGAUUCCUUUAGCCUAUAUUGAUCGUAUUGUAUUACUUGUGGCUAUAUUCGGGACAUUUGGAGGCGGAAUUGAGAGGCAACGGCAUUCCGGAGUAGGAUUUUGCUUGGUUUGAGGUAAGUAACAUUUUCAAACUUGGUUCUGAGGGUUCGAGACCCUAAAUUAUAUGCUGUGUGAUUGGUAUUGAGGUCACGCACAUGCCAAGUGACGGGCGUGCGGGCAUGAGGAUUGUGACCUGGGUGAUUCCAUGGAACCGUUUAGUGACUCUAUCCUGUUGAUAACCAUGUUUUUAUCAUGUGAUAAAGUAGUUGAGUUGUAAAUCAUGCUAGAUAUCAUGUUUAGGCCUUGUGCCGGUAUUGUUUGGACCCUUAGCGGUCGUUUCUUGAUGUUAUGUCACUAGUUUUCAUUCACCAUUUCAUACUCUGUCAUGAUCAUGCAUUUUUAUAUCAUAUCUCGAUCUCAGUUAUUUAUUGAUUCAUCAUAUCAUUGUUCUGUCUUGUUUUCAUGACAUUUUGAGCCCGUGAUGAGACUGGAGAGGUUGAUGACUGAGUGAGGCCGAGUGCCUGGUUAUGAGUGACAGUUAUGGGAUCGAGUUGCACGUCGCAGCGGUUAUAUUGAUGAUUAUGAUAGCGCUUGGGCAGUAGGAGCCCCUCCGGAGUCUGUAACACACCCCCAGUGAGCGUGGAUGAUAUUAUUGAGGGAUAGAUUUCUCUGGACAAGGAUUUGUCCAAAGUACUUGAUACCUAGAGAUAGAUUUCUCCACAAGGUUGGAUUGCCUCUUUUCCUCGGUACUGGUGACUUAUAGUCAGUGUUGUAUAUUUUCCAGGAUGGAUUUCCUUGGGCCGGAUGUCCAUAUACACCGAGUUGUUGAAUACUUGAGAGUGGAGCACAUGGUGCAUUUCAUACUGUCUGUGCACUGGCAUUUAGAGAUAGCUGAGUUGUAUACCUUACACUGUGCAGAUAUGUAUUUCCUUUACUGUUUGAGCUUUAUAUUUGACUUGAAUGCAUGCCUACGUUUCUGCACAUUUAUUUCUGUUUUACUUGUUGAGGUUGAGUUCGUCACUACCUUUCAGUCCAAAGUUUGGACUUGUUACUUAUUGAGUUGGUGUACUCACGUUACUCCCUGCACCUCGUGUGCAGAUCCAGGCGAUACCGGUCGUAGCGGCGGUUGCCGAUUGAGGAUCCUAGAGUUUUGGAGACUAUCAAGGUAGCUGCACUGCGUUCGCGGGCCUUGACUCUCCUUUUUUAUCUUUGUCGUACUUUCAGUUUAUAUCUCUAGACACUGUAGUAUACUGUAUUUCUGAUCUAGACACUCAUGUACUUAGUGACACCCUAGUUUUGGGCUGGAUUGUAUCACUUUGGGAUUUUCAUAUGUUUUAAACAGUUUUUCUUUAAUGUUAAAUGCUUUCGUUAACGUUUUCAAACUCAUUGUUGUUGGUGUUGGGUUGUUGUGUUUAGGCUGGCCUAGUUCUACGAUAGGUGCCAUCACGACGAUUAAUUUUGGGUCGUGACAACUGCCGAGGCAUUUGGUCCGCUCCACAAGAAAGGAUAGAAAUUAUCGAAUUACGAGGCACUUGCUUACAAUACCGUAAAUGGGCACAAUAAUAUAUAUACCUCUUUACAUUUAAAAAAUAUCUUUUCAACAACUCAAGGUGACAAAGCUCGGUCUAAUAUAUUUAUGUGUUUCUAAAUCCAUUUCAGUUAAAAUUUCAAUUAAUUAAACUAGCAGAAUGAGUCCAAACAAUUUAAAUAUUAUAUUAUAAAGUCCUAAGUCUACCAGUACAUAAUCAUGCUUUAGCUACGUACGGACUCUCGUUAUCUCGUGCGUACGUAGCACCCACAACUAGUUGCACAUAAUAUCACAUAGGGGUAGUUUCCCCCUCACAAGAUUAGACAGGAGGCUUACCUCGCUCCGAAGUUCCAUAACCGGCUCCCGCGCCUCUCUAACACCUCAAACCAAAGCCCAUCGAUCCGAAACUAGUCAAAAAAUGUGUAAAUCAAUCAAAAUAUACUCCAAAGCUUACAAUUUAACAUUUUAUAACAAUUCACAACUCCCCUCGAAAAAUCAAUAAAGUCAACCCUCGUGUCCAUGUACCCGGAUUCCGAAAAUCUUCAAAGAUAAUAUUUACCCAUGACACCACAAACUCAAAUAUAUAAUUUAUUCCAAAUUCCAUGUCCAUUUUGGUGGUCAAAAUCCAAAAAUACCAAUUUCUAGGUCUUCUACCAAAAUCCCAAAUUUCUACCAAUUUUCAUAUUCAAAUCCACAUAUAAACCAUGUAUUUAACUCAAUAUGUGGGAAUUACUUACCUCGACAUAGAUGAUGAAAAUCUACCCUUCAAGAGCUCCAAAAAUCACCCAACCAAAUGAAAAUGUGAGAGAAAUGGGCUAAGUCUCGGAUUAAAAACACCCCACUGCUGAGCGACCUUCGCACAUGUGGUCAAUUAGCCGUUUCUGCGGCUCUGCACCUGCGGAAAAUCAAUCUCAGGUGCGGCUCUAGCUCAACCCAGCAGCCCUCACUUCUGCACCCCUAGUAGAGCAUCUGCGCGUCCGCUUUUGCAGGGCUCAAGCGCUUCUGCGCUUGCGCACCUGUGGCCCAGGCCUUCUUGGCCAACCUCCACUUCUACGACAUCUCUCUGCAUUCGCGGCUUCGCAGGUGCGGAAAUUUUCUCGCACCUGCGCUCCCAGACUUCCUCCACAAAAAUCGCACCUACGAUGGACACUUCGCACUUGUGUGACCGCACCGGCGGCCACUCCUUCCGCAGGUGCGAUGGCACCAAACAUCAGCAAGUCCUCAACUCGAGGACCCCAUUCGAUCUUGCCAACGCAACCCAAAACACAAUACAUACUUAGUCGAAGCCUCAAAUCAUGCCCAACAACAUCAAAUCUAUGAAUCGAUGAUCGAAACAUUUCUUUAAACUUUUAAACUUCAACGAACGCGUCCGAAUCAUAUCAAAACAUUCCGAAAUGAUGCCAAACAUUGCGCACAAAUAAUAAAUCACAAUACUAACCUAUUCCAAGUCCACUUCAUUUCAAACUAACCUAUGCCAAGGCUUCGAUAAUACCAAAGUCCACUUCAUUUCAAACUUAAAAAAUUCUAAAACCAUCAAAAUGCCAACUUUCCACAAUAAGCAUCGAAAUGCUCCCGGGUUAUUCGAUACUCAACCCAAACAUACGCCCAAGUCCGAAAUCAUCAUACAAACCUAUUGGAACCUUUAAAUCCUGAUUUCAAUAUCGUUUACUUAAAAGUCAAACCUUAAUCAAUUCUUCCAACUUAAAGCUUCCGGAUUUAGAAUUUUCUGUCCAAAUCAACUCUGAACUUUCCGAAAUUUAAUUUCGACCACACGUACAGGUUAUAAUACAUGAAGUGAAGCUAUUUAAGGCUUCAAAUAAGCGAACGAUGCGCUAGAGCUCAAAAUAACCGGUUAGGUCGUUAUACAAUUAGUUAGGGCAGCAAAGUCAUUAAAAAAGGAAAGAAUUGAUCUUAGUAUUACUCAAUACUGAUAGACCGAUUACACAACACAUAGUUCAUCAAGAUUUCUAAAUAUCAGACUUAAACAAAUUCAGGGUGAGUCCCUACAGGAGAUGGCACUAUCAGCUAUAAGCCAAUAGGUGAUAACAUCUAUUUUAAGGCACACAGGUCAUAUUGAACUGACACUUGAAUAUAUAGGCAUG
rnacentral:lncRNA from 1 species